rnacentral:tRNA from 1 species
GUGGCCUAGGCCGAACCGGUUGAGGCGCCGGGUUGUGAUCCCGGAUAAGUGGGUUCGAGUCCCACAGGUCACU